rfam:Ipomoea nil DNA, scaffold: scaffold0715, cultivar: Tokyo-kokei standard.
GAUCGCAUAGCCCAGUGGAUUAGCGCGUCUGACUUUGAAUCAGAUGGUCUUGAGUUCAACUCCCACUGUGGUCG